rnacentral:rRNA from 1 species
CGCCAGCCCGCUCAGAAACUCAAUGCAUUGACGGGGGCCCGCACAAGCGGUGGAGUAUGUGGUUAAUUCGAUGCAACGCGAAGAACCUUACCUGGUCUUGACAUCCCGGAGACCCUUAGGAAACUAGGGGGUGCUUCCAUCUGGAAGAAUCUGGAGACAGGUGCUGCAUGGCUGUCGUCAGCUCGUGUCGUGAGAUGUUGGGUUAAGUCCCGCAACGAGCGCAACCCUUGCCUUUAGUUGCCAGCAGUUCGGCUGGGCACUCUAAAGGGACUGCCGGUGUUAAACCGGAGGAAGGUGGGGAUGACGUCAAGUCCUCAUGGCCUUUAUGACCAGGGCUACACACGUACUACAAUGGCCGAUACAAAGGGCAGCGACACUGCGAGGUGAAGCCAAUCCCGUAAAAUCGGUCUCAGUCCGGAUUGGAGUCUGCAACUCGACUCCAUGAAGUUGGAAUCGCUAGUAAUCGUGGAUCAGCAUGCCACGGUGAAUACGUUCCCGGGCCUU